rnacentral:rRNA from 1 species
UACAGAGGGUGCGAGCGUUGUCCGGAAUCACUGGGCGUAAAGGGCGCGUAGGCGGUGGCUUAAGCGUGUGGUGAAAGCUCAGGGCUCAACCCUGAGUCGGCCGUGCGAACUGGGUCACUGGAGCAUGUCAGAGGCAGGCGGAAUUCCGGGUGUAGGCGGUGGAAUGCGUAGAGAUCCGGAAGAACACCGGUGGCGAAAGCACUCUGCUGGGCCGACACUGACACUGAGGCGCGAAAGCGUGGGGAGCAAACAGG